GCAGCAGUGGGGAAUAUUGCACAAUGGGCGAAAGCCUGAUGCAGCCAUGCCGCGUGUAUGAAGAAGGCCUUCGGGUUGUAAAGUACUUUCAGUAGGGAGGAAGGUUCAUACGUUAAUAGCGUAUGGAUUUGACGUUACCUACAGAAGAAGCACCGGCUAACUCCGUGCCAGCAGCCGCGGUAAUACGGAGGGUGCGAGCGUUAAUCGGAAUUACUGGGCGUAAAGCGCAUGCAGGUGGUUCAUUAAGUCAGAUGUGAAAGCCCGGGGCUCAACCUCGGAACCGCAUUUGAAACUGGUGAACUAGAGUGCUGUAGAGGGGGGUAGAAUUUCAGGUGUAGCGGUGAAAUGCGUAGAGAUCUGAAGGAAUACCAGUGGCGAAGGCGGCCCCCUGGACAGACACUGACACUCAGAUGCGAAAGCGUGGGGAGCAAACAGGAUUAGAUACCCUGGUAGUCCACGCCGUAAACGAUGUCUACUUGGAGGUUGUUCCCUUGAGGAGUGGCUUUCGGAGCUAACGCGUUAAGUAGACCGCCUGGGGAGUACGGUCGCAAGAUUAAAACUCAAAUG
rnacentral:rRNA from 1 species